UUUCUUUGAAGAUAUGUCACCUUCAACUACCGCAGGCUCAAUCCAACGAGAAGUUCCACAUUCAUGGCAACAUGUUUCAUUCUCGUGCUCUUUCCAAUAUAGCAUGCAGUCAUUUGGGCAUGCAUCAAUCUUUUUAUAAUCAAGACCUAAAUCUCUCACCAUAGCCUUGGCUUUGUUGAAAGAAGAAGGGAGAUUCAAGUUAAGAAUAGCCUCUUUCAACAACUCCAGGAGGGAAGUGAACGAGGCAUUGCUCCAUCCAUGUAGACACUUCAACAAGUAUAGUCAGAUGGUGAAAGAUAACGUAGAAAAUCCCUUGGCAUUAGAAAGGAAGGAAACAGAACUUGAACAAUGGAAGAAUGGGAAUAACUCUAGAAAUGCCAUUGAAUCACAGAAAGGAAGAGCUAUUUCACCUUAUCGCUUGCCCAAAUAUGGAAACAGUAGUGCCACCAUGAAAUCAGAGACUUGUCAGAGACCAACACCAACAGAUGAUAAAACUUUUGAGGGGAGGAGUUGCUCAUUGGGUAAGCAAAGAAGGUCAAGGUUCCCUUCAGCAUUGGAUUCACCAAUGGCAAAAAUGAAAAAUAUUAAUCAAAAUAUAUUAUGUAGUAGUUUUAGAUUUUGUAAGACACUGUUGAUAUUACUGCACUUAUUUAAGCUUUUUUUAAGAAAAAAAAGUAAUAAAUUAAAUUUCUAAUUAAAUUACUAUUAAAAGGAAACAAAGCAUGUGAUGAUGCAAGUAUUGGUCUUAGCAGUUCCAAGAAUGGAUACAACUAACCAUCCUCACUAAUUAAAAUAGUUAUGUUCUUAGUUACUUCUUUCACAUUAUGUACCACCACCGCCCCUUCAUCCUUAUUACAAGAGGUUAGUGUGAUAUACCCAAGUAAUAGCUUCUUUUUCUCA